GCAUACAGCACCAUUUUCAACAUAAAACAUAAAAACCCAUUCAAAAUGGAGGUGAUGGUAGAUGCCUGGACAGAUUACCAGAUCAUCAUUACUCAGCCUCAGAACCAGAUAAAAAAUGACUGGGAUCAUUACACCAACUCUUACCACAUCUUCACCAAAGCUCCUGACAACUUAGAGGAGGUCACGCUCCGAGGUUAUCAACUGGGAGCAAACUUUCCAGAUCCAAUCUAACUAGAGGGCUUGGAUGAAGCAAUAAGAAAGGUUGCAACUUCAAAAUCAGUGCAGGUAGAUUACAUGAAAACCAUGCUCUUUAUACCGGAAUUACCAAAGAAACACAAGACUGCAAGUAAUGACAAUAUGGGGUUAUUUAAAAUGGGUGAUGAUAAGAAGGAAGGAAACUUUUCAAACAUGUUCUUAGGUGUUUCACAUGCAGGUCUUGUAAAUGAACACUGGGCCUUUGGGAAAAAUGAGAGGAGCUUUAAAUAUAUUGAACGCUGCAUCCAGGAUUUUCUAGGAUUUGGUGUGCUGGGUCCAGAGGCACAGCUUGUCUCUUGGCUUGUGAUGGGACAGUCCAGUGAGUUGAGAAUGGGUUAUACUGUCCCCAAACACAGAAACCAAGGCAACAUGUCGCAAAUUGGUUAUCAUCUUGAAAGUUAUCUUUCUCAGAAAGAAAUCCCAUUUUAUGCUCAUGCGGCAGAUAAUAGUGAGAAAAUCCUACAGGCACUGAAAAAUGUUGGGUUUAAGAUUUGACCUUGUGGCUGGCAUCAGUGGAAAUGCAUCCCCAAGAAAUAUUGUUGAUUAGUUCCACUGUCCAUUUCAAAUCUUAUCAGUAGAAAAUCAUUAAUUCAAACACAAAUAUGAUGAUGUACAUUAGCACAAAAGACACCUGAUUAUCCAGGAUCUGGGUAUUAUUUAAGCUCACCCUUAACAUUUUUACCCUCCUCUUCCUCUGUAUUCUUACAGAAAAUUAGAAGCUCAAUCCUAUGGUCUCAUAAUUUCAUUUAUGGUGACAGACAUCUCAGAAUUAAAAUCACCCAAUGCCAAUCAUUAGUGUCAAGAUAACCCUUUAUAGCAACACUUUCUUAAAUGAAGAUGACUUCUUUGAUGAAAAAAAUUGCUUUU
rnacentral:lncRNA from 1 species